GUCUAAGUAUAAGCAAUCUAUACCGUGAAACUGCGAAUGGCUCAUUAAAUCAGUUAUCGUUUAUUUGAUAGUACCUUACUACUUGGAUAACCGUGGUAAUUCUAGAGCUAAUACAUGCUAAAAACCUCGACUUCGGAAGGGGUGUAUUUAUUAGAUAAAAAACCAAUGCCCUUCGGGGCUCCUUGGUGAUUCAUAAUAACUUAACGAAUCGCAUGGCCUUGUGCCGGCGAUGGUUCAUUCAAAUUUCUGCCCUAUCAACUUUCGAUGGUAGGAUAGUGGCCUACCAUGGUUUCAACGGGUAACGGGGAAUAACUCUAGUUCUCAAUUGGCAACAAGUCUGCGUAGCAGGCGACACACCUGGAUGCGGGGAACUCCUGUAAGCUUACGGUACUGGGUCAGAGGUAACGCCUCUGUAUCGAUAGUUAUAAUCCGUGAGAUAGGGACAACCCGCAGCAGAUCUGGCUAAGGCUGGACUGUUCAACGCUCGCUAAGGUGUGGGCUCUCAGAGUUUUGAGGUACGGGCUAACCCCGCUGGAAACGGCGCUUCUGGUAAACACGUAGGUGUGAACUAGGGGAAGUAGCUAGUCUACAGGGUGUUUUUGUAGGGUUCUAUUCCGGAGAGGGAGCCUGAGAAACGGCUACCACAUCCAAGGAAGGCAGCAGGCGCGCAAAUUACCCAAUCCCGACACGGGGAGGUAGUGACAAUAAAUACUGAUACAGGGCUCUUUUGGGUCUUGUAAUUGGAAUGAGUACAAUUUAAAUCCCUUAACGAGGAACAAUUGGAGGCAAGUCUGGUGAACACGUCC
rnacentral:rRNA from 1 species